AAAUAACCUCUCAUUUUCCUUAUUAUUACAAUGUGGAAUGGUGAUUUUACAAGAGACUUAUUAUUCAGACUGCGUGAAACAUUGAUUCAUUUUAUUCCAACCAUUUACAAGCCUACAAGGAUCACAGUAUCAGAGAGACCCCACAAUUUUUCUUCUGGCAAUGAUGCAUUAGUGAAUUUUUCAUUUCUUCAAACACUUCCUGGUCUUUCGUAUGAUGAAGG